rnacentral:rRNA from 1 species
UUUAUCAAAAACAUCGCCUCUUGCUAAAAAAGAAGUAUUAGAGGUCCCGCCUGCCCUGUGACCACAGUGUUUAACGGCCGCGGUAUCCUGACCGUGCGAAGGUAGCGUAAUCACUUGUCUUUUAAAUGAAGACCUGUAUGAAUGGCAUCACGAAGGUUCAACUGUCUCCUUCCCCCAGUCAAUGAAAUUGAUCUGCCCGUGCAGAAGCGGACAUAAAAACAUAAGACGAGAAGACCCUGUGGAGCUUUAGGCCAAGGAUCAAACAUGUAAAACAGACUCAAACCCUAAAAAGAAUAAUAAAAGUCCAAAAACCAAGAGUAACCUGAUCCUAAUGCCUUCGGUUGGGGCGACCGCGGGGGAAAAUAAAGCCCCCACAUGGAAUGGAACUACUUCCUAAACCAAGAGUUACAACUCUAAGUAACAGAAUUUCUGACCACCUAUGACCCAGGACAAACAUAAACCUGAUCAAUGAACCAAGUUACCCCAGGGAUAACAGCGCAAUCCUUUCCCAGAGUCCAUAUCGACGAAAGGGUUUACGACCUCGAUGUUGGAUCAGGACAUCCUAAUGGUGCAGCCGCUAUUAAGGGUUCGUUUGUUCAACGAUUAAUAGUCCUACGUGAUCUGAGU